GAGAAACAGAACUAAGAGACCCUCACAGAGAGAAACCUGUGCUCUGUCAGGCAGGGUGGCUCAGGAGCCCAGCAGCAGCAGCCACGCUGUCCCAGCCCCAGUUCUCCUCACACCUCUGACUCUCCCUCAGCUACCACUAUUGCUGCACUCAUUCAGGCUUUUGUUCUCCUCUACUUUUUCUGUAAGACAAGCUUGACAAAGUCAGGAAAGAAAUGAGAAAAUGAAGUUUCAGUUACUUCUUAAGGGCUCACCUCUCCCGAGGAAAAGAUGGUCGUGAUACUCGCGAGCUCUGGGGAAACUCCCCUGACCUUCCCGCCCUCUGAGGGGCGCGAUAACGAGGAGCCCGCUUUCCCGCCACUCGUGCUCUGAUUGGCUGUUCGGCCGCAGAGCCGCAGGCGCGAAUGGAAAGAGCCAAUCAGGGACGGCGGGAGCUCUGUGAGGAGAGCACGAGAUGGCGGCCGGGGCGUCGUGAGGCGGUGCGGCUCCUCUCUCUGAGAACUUUGAGAUUUAGUCUUUGCUUCUUAAUCUGGUCAGAGGCGGAGUACAAAUGAAUGCAGUUCACCAAAGAAACAAUCAAUACUGAAAGUAUUCACCGAGUUAGCACUUCUGGUAAGUUAUUUAGUCUUUCACUUUGUCAAUGUAUCUUUGGGCAAAACUAAGCUCUAACAGGAAAUGUGCUCCCAACAGCUUCUUGUAACAUGCUAAGCAAUUGAUGAACAUACAAGAUAUUUCUUCUAAAAUAUCUAUUAAAAGUGUAUGUUCAUAUAUUGUAUAUGUUUUUAUAUAUAGGUAUUAUAUGCAACUAUUUAUGACUAGAGAAAACUAGAAUUUGGGUGCAACUCCUUGGAUGUGAAGCAGAGGCAGCAAACAGUUUCUCUGAGUUACCAAAGUACAGUAAUCAUUCAGAAUUGCAAGGAAGAGGUAGAUUGUCUGUGGAGUGCUGGGACCGUGGCUCUGUAAGGAAGGAGGCUGGAGUGGGACAAUAUAUAUCUAAAAAGGCAGCAGUGAGUAUGAGGAAGUAGAAGGAGGUCCAUAUGGGAAAAACAGUCCAUCAAACAUGCCUGUGCUAAGUGAAAUCUUACAUGCUUGGUUGUUUUAUUUCUUUCCAAGUAUAUCAGAUCAUCUGAUUGGAUAACAAUCAGAUAAAAAAAGUCUUCUUUUA
rnacentral:lncRNA from 1 species